GCCACAAUGGCGUAGUUGGUAACGCGACGGCACUAUAGCAGUAGAGGAAGGACCCCGGGUUUGAGUCCCGGGGGUGGCG